rnacentral:rRNA from 1 species
GAUGAACGCUGGCGGCGUGCCUAACACAUGCAAGUCGAGCGAUUUACUUCGGUAAAGAGCGGCGGACGGGUGAGUAACGCGUGGGUAAUCUGCCCUGUACACACGGAUAACAUACCGAAAGGUAUGCUAAUACGAGAUAAUAUACUUUUACCGCAUGGUAGAAGUAUCAAAGCUCCGGCGGUACAGGAUGGACCCGCGUCUGAUUAGCUAGUUGGUAAGGUAUCGGCUUACCAAGGCGACGAUCAGUAGCCGACCUGAGAGGGUGAUCGGCCACAUUGGAACUGAGACACGGUCCAAACUCCUACGGGAGGCAGCAGUGGGGAAUAUUGCACAAUGGGCGAAAGCCUGAUGCAGCAACGCCGCGUGAGCGAUGAAGGCCUUCGGGUCGUAAAGCUCUGUCCUCAAGGAAGAUAAUGACGGUACUUGAGGAGGAAGCCCCGGCUAACUACGUGCCAGCAGCCGCGGUAA